rnacentral:rRNA from 1 species
AUUGAACGCUGGCGGCAGGCCUAACACAUGCAAGUCGAACGAGUGGCGGACAGGUGAGUAAUGUCUGGGAAACUGCCCGAUGGAGGGGGAUAACUACUGGAAACGGUAGCUAAUACCGCAUACCAUCGGAUGUGCCCAGAUGGGAUUAGCUAGUAGGUGGGGUAACGGCUAACCAAGGAGACGAUCCCUAGGGGGUCUGAGAGGAUGACCAGCCACACUGGAACUGAGCAACGGUCCAGACUCCUACGGGAGGCAGCAGUGGGGAAUAUUGCACAAUGGGCGCAAGCCUGAUGCAGCAAUGCCGCGUGUAUGAAGAAGGCCUUCGGUUUGUAAAGUACUUUCAGCGGGGAGGCGUUACCCGCAGAAGAAGCACCGGCUAACUCCGUGCCAGCAGCCGCGGUAAUUC